rnacentral:rRNA from 1 species
GCGUUGUCCGGAUUUAUUGGGCGUAAAGAGCUCGUAGGCGGUUGUGGAAGUCGGAUGUGAAAUACCGGGGCUCAACCCCGGGACGCCACUCGAUACUCCACUGACUAGAGUCCGGUAGGGGAAGGUGGAAUUCCUGGUGUAGCGGUGAAAUGCACAGAUAUCAGGAGGAACACCGGUGGCGAAGGCGGCCUUCUGGGCCGGCACUGACGCUGAGGAGCGAAAGCUA